UUCAGGGGCCUGGAAGCCCUCAAGUCUCCCACCAAUGCCCCAAACUGCCUAGCAUGAGGUCUGGACUGCUCCACUCACGGGGCUCAAGCUCUUCGUAUUGCUUAAUAAGGAGCCCGGAGAUUAGCAGUGAGCUGCCUGAAGGUUGCAAGGGGAGCAGGUGGUCAGAGGCUGUGGGGCCUGGGAGGCGUGUCCUGUGAUGUUUGCGGGCCUGAGGGAGUGCUCUGACAUUUGGAGUUCAUAGCAUCUGAAUCCGCCAUUCAUAUCUGUGGGACUCAGAUGUGUUACUUCAGCUCUCAGGGGCCCAGUUUUCUCGUGUGCGAUGCACGAACCAUGAAGGCACCUACCUGGGAGGGCCUGGUGAUGAGGCACAACUCUGGCCCGUGAUCAGUGCUCCCGUUUUCCUUCCCGAUUCGUGCCCUUUGGGUAGGUUUUGUUUGGCCACACAGUAUAUUAAAAUAAGAAGGCACUGAAGUUUGAGGAUUAAGAUAUGCUAUAAAAUGAUACAGAUUAUUGGAAUUCCUUUAAAAAGUCACAAGAUCUGGCAGUGCGGGGCCCACAUUCUUGCUUGUUUUUCAACUGGCCGGGCUGUGGAGGGACUGUUUCUGAGACCCUCCAGAUUCCUGAGACCCCCCCCCCCCCCCCCAAGAUCUUUUCUUUCCCCUCUUGUAUCUGACUGGCCCCUUUAGGCUGUUGAAUUUGCAACCUCUCUCUGGAAGAUGUCCCUGUUAAAAAUAAGUGCCUGUGGUCACCUGUCAAUUAUCCCCAUGCGGUUUAUUCACAACACUUAUUUACCUGACUGCUUUUGCUUGCCUUGGGCAUGAUGGAGGUUUUCUUCCCUUUCUUGCAGUGGGUGAAUACUCAGAAGAUGCAAAUUCUUACAAGGAUUAGGCCAUUGUGAAGGCAGCAGUCCUCAACAUUCUACAAGUCUGCUCCGAAGGGGCAGCCGUUGUAAAAGACACAAACAGAGAACCCCAUUUACUUGUCAUCAGGCGGUUACAGAAGAUUCCAUCCCUGAUGUAAAAUACUCUCAUUACCUGCUUUUUCCCCCCCUGUAGCCCCAUUGAGGGAUAGUUUUUGAAUUGUUGCAUCUGAUUCUCUCUUGUUUAGAAGAUGAGGUGAUGACAGUGAACGGGUUAGAGAAGGUAACGCGGAGGUGGGGUGCAUUCACGGAAAACGGCCGGGUCUGCAACUGGGCCUGGCCUGGAUUCACUCUUCUGAGGUCAAGAGGCUGACUGCUGUUUUGACUCUCUUUUAGGGUAAAAAAAAUAAAAAAAACCAAAUCAUGUGGAGCAAACAAACCCUCUGUCGGAAGGACAGCAGGCGGUAUGAACCCCCAACAAGAGUGGACACUUUCUAGAAAAUCCCUUUGGGCCACAGAUGGAAUAAAGGCAGCACUGAAUUC